rnacentral:rRNA from 1 species
AUUGAACGCUGGCGGCAGGCCUAACACAUGCAAGUCGAACGGCAGCACAGAAGAGCUUGCUCUUUGGGUGGCGAGUGGCGGACGGGUGAGUAAUGUCUGGGAAACUGCCCGAUGGAGGGGGAUAACUACUGGAAACGGUAGCUAAUACCGCAUAACGUCGCAAGACCAAAGUGGGGGACCUUCGGGCCUCACACCAUCGGAUGUGCCCAGAUGGAAUUAGCUAGUAGGUGGGGUAAUGGCUCACCUAGGCGACGAUCCCUAGCUGGUCUGAGAGGAUGACCAGCCACACUGGAACUGAGACACGGUCCAGACUCCUACGGGAGGCAGCAGUGGGGAAUAUUUCACAAUGGGCGCAAGCCUGAUGCAGCCAUGCGGCGUGUAUGAAGAAGGCCUUCGGGUUGUAAAGUACUUUCAGCGGGGAGGAAGGCGGUGAGGUUAAUAACCUUGCCGAUUGACGUUACCCGCAGAAGAAGCACCGGCUAACUCCGUGCCAGCCGCCGCGGUAA